rnacentral:rRNA from 1 species
GGUGCCCAGGCGCGAAAACUUUACAAUGCCGGCAACGGCGAUAAGGGAACCUCGAGUGCCAGGUUACAAAUCUGGCUGUCGUGAUGCCUAAAAAGCAUUGCAUAGCAAGGGCCGGGCAAGACCGGUGCCAGCCGCCGCGGUAACACCGGCGGCUCGAGUGGUAACCGUUAUUAUUGGGUCUAAAGGGUCUGUAGCCGGCCGGGUAAGUCUCUUGGGAAAUCUGGCAGCUUAACUGUCAGGCUUUCAGGAGAUACUGCCUGGCUCGAGGCCGGGAGAGGUGAGAGGUACUUCAGGGGUAGGGGUGAAAUCUUGUAAUCCUUGAAGGACCACCAGUGGCGAAGGCGUCUCACCAGAACGGACCUGACGGCAAGGGACGAAAGCUAGGGGCACGAACCGGAUUAGAUACCCGGGUAGUCCUAGCCGUAAACGAUACUCGCUAGGUGUCGGCCACGGUGCGACCGUGGUCGGUGCCGUAGGGAAGCCGUGAAGCGAGCCACCUGGGAAGUACGGCCGCAAGGCUGAAACUUAAAGGAAUUGGCGGGGGAGCAC